rnacentral:rRNA from 1 species
GACAUAGGUGGCGAACGUUAUCCGGAUUUAUUGGGCGUAAAGAGCUCGUAGGCGGUCUGUCGCGUCGGCUGUGAAAACUCGGGGCUCAACUCCGAGCUUGCAGUCGAUACGGGCAGGCUAGAGUUCGGCAGGGGAGACUGGAAUUCCUGGUGUAGCGGUGAAAUGCGCAGAUAUCAGGAGGAACACCGGUGGCGAAGGCGGGUCUCUGGGCCGAUACUGACGCUGAGGAGCGAAAGCGUGGGGAGCGAACAGG